AAGUCCUCAUUCCUUCAUUCUCGUCAGCUGACCAUAAAGAAACGGAGCAAGGCAAAAUCAAUAAGCAUCAGACAGCAAAAGCUUCAGUAUAGAUGCUAAGGCAAAUGGAUUGUCCAAGAAGCCUGGAAAAACAGUCCAGUGAUGAGGAAGAAAAUAAGGAUAAGACAGACUUGUGCACUUCCAUAAGUCCUGUAUCUGCACCAGUAUUAAAGGCCAUCUCAGUUAGAUGGAGGACCACCAGCCAUACCUACUGGUAUUGAGAAGGAUCAAGGGCAUGAUCACCUUAUUCUGUGUGGUUGGACAAGCACCUCAUCCCUUCUGACAGAACCACCACCCUGAGUCCUAUCGAACUCAAAGUCCACUUUGUGCUCAACCUGUUGUAUCAGUAGGUCCUUGUCAAUGUCUUUAUCUUCCUGCUACACUCUACAACAUUGAUGUUGGUCAUACCAGUGGGUUACCAGUAAAGUUUCAAACUGACACAGUGUGUUGGCUGUUAUUGAAUGCCCACAUUAUGUAUUUUUAGUUGAACUGAAUGCAGAUUACAUUUAAUGACAAAUCAGGGUUUGUAUGAACACUAUAUUAGUGUGGAA